rnacentral:rRNA from 1 species
UACGUAUGGUGCAAGCGUUAUCCGGAUUUACUGGGUGUAAAGGGAGCGCAGGCGGCGCGGCAAGUCCGAUGUGAAAACCCCCGGCUCAACCGGGGGACUGCAUUGGAAACUACCGGGCUGGAGUGCCGGAGAGGUAGGCGGAAUUCCUGGUGUAGCGGUGAAAUGCGUAGAUAUCAGGAGCAACACCAGUGGCGAAGGCGGCCUACUGGACGGUGACUGACGCUGAGGCUCGAAAGCGUGGGGAGCAAACAGG